rnacentral:rRNA from 1 species
GUGUCAGCAGCCGCGGUAAAACGUAGGGGGCAAGCGUUGUCCGGAAUUAUUGGGCGUAAAGGGCGUGUAGGCGGCUCGUGAAGUCAGGAGUGAAAGCCCGGGGCUCAACCCCGGGACUGCUUUUGAAACCAGCGGGCUUGAGUACAGGAGAGGGAAGUGGAAUUCCCAGUGUAGCGGUGAAAUGCGUAGAUAUUGGGAGGAACACCAGUGGCGAAAGCGGCUUCCUGGCCUGUAACUGACGCUGAGGCGCGAAAGCGUGGGGAGCAAACAGGAUUAGAUACCCUGGUAGUCCACGCCGUAAACGAUGGGUGCUAAGUGUUGGGGGUAUCGACCCCCUCAGUGCUGUAGUUAACGCAAUAAGCACCCCGCCUGGGGAGUACGUUCGCAAGAAUGAA